ACUACAAAGAAAUGAGAAAGAGAUGUGAUCCAGCUGUCCCUUGUCAGUCACAAAUGACACUGGCUUCACAAGGUCAGAGUCUGCUUUUCAAAGACAGUUAUAAGAAGGCUGUAUGGUUUGUCCUUGGUUACUAAUGAGUCUGUGGUAAGGUGUACAUAGUCUCCUCACAUCUCUUCUAAAUGUCUGACCACACAGUCCCUCUCCCCCAUUCGCCUUUGCCAGUUCCUACAGGAGCUCCACAAUUGAAGACUGGAUCCGAGCAAAGUUAACUUUAGCUAGUCUUAAGACUGGAGUCUUCGCCAGCUAAAAAUGUUUCCCCUUGCUCCUUCUGGGAAUGCCUGGCCUGCCUCCUGCUUAUGUUAAUAACUGAAAAUUGCCUGCACUUGUCAUGCCCCCUCAUAUUUUAACAGUGACAUUUUCUCAGGAGCAAGACAAUUCAUGCUCAGAUGCUGUACAUAUGACAGUGAAGCCUGUAGACAGGGAAAUAUGAGCCAGAGCCAGGAGAUUGCAGACAGGAGAUGAAAGCUUAGUGAAUGGCUAGGAUGACCCCUUUGGUACAAUGAGAGGGAGCCUUGUAUUGUCUGAUGAAGACUAAGAAGUAGGCUAUAUUCACUGCAAGAGAACACAAGGUCAGGGAAGGCCAUAGAAGAAAUAGAGUACACUCAAGGAGCCUGCUCAUGUGGCAGAGGCAGAGGCAGGUAACCAUUGCUACCUGUUUAGUCAGUGUAAGAUGAUUUCCACUUGCAAAGCCAAGGUGGCUGUGCAGCCACCAGCUCGGAGCCCAUGAGUUGCAGCGCCCCAGUCAACUCAUACAUGACUCACAUGGGGCAGGCAUGUUGUGAAGGUGUGGCUGAGAGCUGGAGGUGGGUCACAGACUCACAGAUGCCCAGUGUGGGGCCCUACCCUCUUCCCUCAUCCCAGGUCAGAAGGAGGCAUGCAAACCAGGAUAGGUAGGCAAUCUGGAAGGAAGACACCAUCUAGCCCCAUUCCUGAAGGUGACGAACAGUGUCACACAGCUUGAGAAUCAGGAGCAAAAACCAAAAUCCAAAGAACAGAAGAGUCUUGUACAGAUGUGCAGUUCCACAUCUGAGCCCAUCACCCAACAUUAACUGUGCAAGCAUGUCUGCGGGCUACCCUUAGCUCCCUAUACCCAUGGCAUAGAGUCAUCCACUUACAUGUAGAACCAGGAUUUGAACAGAAGCCCCUCUAAAGGCUCUGGACUCUCCAUGUUGUCAUUUGCAUGUGACAGUGAAGGAAAUGGUUGCAGGGACAUGAUGUUUGCUAAAAGCUAGAAAACUAGUGAUAAACAGUGGGGUCGUACACCCCUGUAACCCUAGCACUUGGGAGGUGGAGGUAAGAGCAUCAAGAGUUCAAGGCUAGUCUCUGCAACAAAGCAAGUUCAAGACCAGCCUCAGCUACAUGAAACUGUCUCAGAAACAACAACAAGGGUAGAAUCAGACUAGGCUAGGACUUGUUACUUGAGUUUCAGCCUAGUGCCUCUUUCAGUAGUUUGGUUACAUGUCCACAUCUCAUCUGAUGCUCACAGGAUCUCCUCUGUUAGAGAAGAAAGCCAUAGACCUAUUUGCAGACUGACUGCAACCUUAGAAACUGGCCUUUGAUGGAAAGUACAGAAGGAGAGCAGGUUGGGGAGGCAUAAGGUGGGAGGGAUGGACUCCCAUUACUCUUCCUCCUUGUAUACAUGAGGCUAGAUCCGAGUGCAUGGUUCUUAAGGACUGGCGUUCACAGAAAGGGGCACCCAUGUACUAAGGUAUUACGUUUCCAUUUUGAUGAUGGACCAAGAAAGGGAAGCCACCCACCAUAAAAGUUCUAGCAAGUGACUUGGAGUAGAAGCCAGGUCUCUAACUCAACAUAAAUGUGUGUGUGUGUGUGUGUGUGUGUAUGUGUGUGUGUGUGUGUACACAUACAUCUAUGUAUGUACACACACACACACACACACACACAUAUAUAUAUAUAUCCCCUUGUUCACCAUGGCAAUAGCCACAGGCUCCCUUGUUUAUUAGCAGAGCCAGAGGAGAUCUCUAGUCACCAGGACCCAUCUCCAUUCAUUGUCUGACCUCCCUUUACUCCUUGUGGGCAGAUGACUCUCCCACGUCUUAGGAAGCACUCUGUGCUCGUUUGUGUAAGACAGCACUUGCCUGGUGCUCUGUGACAUGCACAAGAGUCCAGGAUGAAGAUACAAACGCUGAACAACCUUGGCAGAAGAUUACAGGUGUCCUGGCAGACCCCUGAGGUGUAAGACAUGUGGGUGAAGUAGCCCAGUCCUCUAAGAUGGUCACUAGGUUCUCUAGGUUGUGAAAGGAGAAAGGGUAGAGAAUGGUAAGGCACGAAUGCCUUGUCUAUAAAUAAGUUUGUUGGUGGCACUUCUGGGGGCACUCAGGGUACCCGGAAUGGAUGCUUAGCCUGGCAAGAAGAUGGCUUGUCAGGAUGUCCUGAGGAGCCAGCCCUCCCUAGAUGACAUACAGAGCAGGGCUCUGAAAAGAGACUUCUUUCUGUUCAAUCCUCAGUUCUUCCUACCACAGACCUGCAUUUUUACUAAAAAGUGGGGAUAAUACUAGAAGGCUAUGGCCGGUUGUUAGUAGUGUGGGUUAAUAUGGUUAAUAAUAGGGAAAAUGUUCAGAAGAGAGCCUGGUGCAUCACAGUGCCUGCCAACUGUUUCUGUCAAGGGAAAUGGGAGCCACAUGGGGGAGUUGAGCCUGAGCCAUGGCAGCUGGCAAGGCCUCUGAGUAGCAGAGUGGAGGGGUCAGCUUUGGGAAGAGUGCUACCGGGAGAUAUCCAUCUGCAGAUGCCCUGAAGUCAGGGAAGCUUCGGGGGAAUGUGGCCAGUUGGACUGGAGGCUGGAGGUGGGAGUUGCAGAGGUGACUGGCUGACAGGAACCUGGUCAGCAUCCAGGAGAUACCUAGAUUUCUCCUUGGGAUAGCUGUCCUUAAGGACACUUGCCCUAAUGGUUUCAGGAUAAGAAGAAAGUUAUUUGGGAUCCAGUUAGGCAUAAUGAUUAUCCCCAAAGAUCCAAAGUCUGUAUCAUAGAGGUGUGCGCAGCACGACUCACAGUUGCCAAGAUAAGGAAUCCAACUAUAGAUGAACAGGUAAGGAAAAUAUGGGAUCUGUGCAUGACACUGUCUGACCUUAACACCAAACCUCUGCUGUCUGCCAGCCACAGUGUGAGGAUUGCCAUGCCGAGUGAAACAGCCAGAUGCAGAAAAACAGAUCCCCCACACCCUCACAUACAAGUGGCAUCUGAAGAAAUCCGGCAGCAGACCAGUAGAAUACUGGGUACAGAAGCUGGAUAGUGAGAGGGAGGGGCGGUGGGGGGGGGGAGUCAAAAGUCAAAAUCUCACGAGGAAGCAAGUGACGUUUUUGUUUCCUUCGAGACCUUCACAGAAUAUGGAACGUGGUUGCUAAUGGCACAUUGAACAUUUUAAAAUUAAGAGUACAUUUCAACUGAUUUUACCAUGGAAAAAUAAGGAGGUGCUAACUAUGCUAACUAACAAUAUGAUAAUAAUUAUUCUAAUUUUUAAUCUUGAGUUAAAACAUGUACCUCAUAAAUAGAUACAAUUAUAACUUGUUAAUUUAUUGUUAAAAAUUAAAAGAUGAUCUGAGGUUUGCUCUUGAAGUGCCCGUUAGAAAGGCGUUGAGACCAUGGGAAAGGAGAGAUGUACUGCUUGUAAAUGUGUUCUUUUCUGCACACCUCCCUCCACCACUCCUAACUUGGAGGCUAUGGUCUCGAUUUUGUUAAGGGUGCUGAUGGCAGAUUCGGAGGACCUGAGAGUCACCCUUAGCCUGACCCGGGCUAUAAAUAGCAUGGAGACAGGAGUCAUCUGAGGCUCUACGGCAGGAUGGACAAGAGGUGACACCUCAGCUCUGUCCUUUAACCAUACUCUGGGGUUCUAUAAGCAUAUGAAGAACAGUGUGCUCUGAGCUCAGGGUGGGAAAGACCAAAAGAUGCAACCGGAUAGACCAUCAAAGGCACUGGCUCAGCGCUCCCAAGGAAGAGCCAACCUGCUGGCCCCAGCUGCAGAGCCACUACUGCAGAGGCCCCAGUGCCAAGCCACUGACCAGCCCUGAGGGAAGCAGGAGGGACAUCGGAGAGGCCUGCUCGCUUCCCAUGCGUGCCCUAGCACAGAGUUGCUGACAACCACCGUACCAAGGAGACCAGCAGGAGGAUGUCAUGAUAAAACAGCCAGCUGGGCGGCAUGGGAGCCUGCUUUCCCACAGCAUGGCAGCAGGACGGAGCCCCCAGGAAGAUGGUAGACGUUUUUUCUUUUGCUGGAAGAAGCCAAUUGUACAGGUUAGAAUCCUAAGUCGUUCUCAUAAUGAUAAUUAGCAAAUGGAUACACAUUUGCAUUUCAAACUGGAAGUCAUGCAUCACUACCUAACACUAUGAAUGUGGCCUGUGUCACUGAGACUAUCCUCCAGUGAGAAACAUCAAGGGGACAGCUAGGGUACACAGACAGGCCCCCGGGGUGCCUAGAGGAUGCUGUCAUCAUUUCAUCUUGGCAUCCCUGUUCAACAAACAGCCAUGGUUCCUGCUCGCCACAUGCCUUCACUGAGGUUUCUUGGGCUUCCUUGCCCCAAGUCCAAUCACAGUCCAUCACUGAGGGAAAUCAGGGAAGGAACUCGGGGCAGGAUACCUAUAGGCAGGAACUGAAGCAGAGGCCAUGGAGGAACACUGCAUACUGGCUUGCUCUCCCUGGCUUGCUUAGCUACCUUUCUUGUACAACCCAGGACCAUCUGCCCAGGGUGCUGAUGGCCCUCUCAUAUUAGAAAAUGCCCCACAGGCUUGUCUGGAGGCCGGUCUGAUGGAGGCAAUUCCUUGCUUGAUAUUCCCUGUUGCCAGACAACUUUAGCUUGUGUCGAGUUGACGUUAAAACUAAAAAGUACAGCCAUCCUGUAGGCCAGGCCCCCUAUUAAGGCUUGAACCCCCGUCCUUCCUAGAGCUACUGCCGGGUCAUCUCCUGACCAUCCCUGUCAGCCUCUCUUUCUCUUUCAAGGCUGGCCAAAGACCCUCCUCACCAGGAUGCUUCGCUCAACUGGCUUCUGCUCCCAUAAAUCACUUCCUCAUGCUGUUUGGACAGAGCUUGCUGGCAUUCUUGAGUUUUUAAGCAUGCCUUUGAGUCUUUUCCCCUAAAAGGUGGCAAGCCUUCGUACAUCCAAGAGCUUAGCCUUUCUAUUAUGCCAGGCCACCCAGCACAGCCUAGUCACACCAAGGUUUCUCAGAAAAGUGACUAACAGUGGCUGUGACCCAAGCCAUGGUCCCCAACCUCCUCAGACUUUAGUCUUAAGUAGGGAAGUAGAGAGUGAGCUUGCAAUCCAGUCAGCUCUAGCUUUGAGUCCUUGCGAUGUGAGUUGGGGGUCUAUGGCCUGGACUCUGAGUCUCAGAACUUGUCUGUCUCAUUCAGAAAGAUUCCUGUAUAUAUCCCUGCAGCACCCCUGGCUAGUCAUCUGGUAUACCCCAGCAGUGCUCCUGGCUAGUCAUCUGGUAUACCCCAGCAGUGCUCCUGGCUAGUCAUCUGGUAUACCUCGGCAGUGCUCCUGGCUAGUCAUCUGGUAUACCCCGGCAGUGCUCCUGGCUAGUCAUCUGGUAUACCCCGGCAGUGCUCCUGGCUAGUCAUCUGGAAACUCUUUCUGCCAAAGAAGGAUGUGAUUCAGAGAAGACAAGUGACAGUGGGCACUGAGUAUCAUGUCAAAUGCUUAAUCUAUAACUAGGGGGAAAUGUGAGAUUAUCGCUUCUCCGAGUAAUACUCAGGGGUUUUUAAAUGUUGGUUCACACCCAGCUCACAGCUGAGCCUACAAUAAUACUCUGAUAGUUGGCCUCAUCCAGUGAUUCAGUUGAGCCAUCACUUCUGUGUUGUAGUAAGUUUGCAUCAUAUUUAUGUUUGAUCUUACUUUGUUUCAAAUAAUGGCAUCUCGGAUAAUCCAAGACAGAGAUCUCUUUUUCUAGGCUCUGGAAAAAGUGGCCUGUGGCGUGAGCAGUAGACAAAGAGCUUUUCAAGCUAUGAUGCUCUGCUUGAGAGCAGGAGCCUGUAUCCCCAGCAUCCUUAGCACUUAGGCCGAUGGUUCCUGAAGCUGAAGCACUCAAUUGGAAGUAUGAACUCUUCCCAAGCUAAUACUGGAGAACCACCACCUUGUUUCUUAACUGCGUCCUGUGAUGCCCCUGAGAUGCCGCAGAAUAAACGGCUGUCUGUGGCCACACCUCGUGCCACACAGGGCAGUGCGAUGGACUCUGCAGGAGAAGAGAGAGGUUAUUCUACAGUCGGCUAUAGUUGGGUUGAGAGAGCGAGGCGCACUGUGGCUGUUGUAGCUUAUGUCCUCGCCUGCUUAUGGUGACUGAGGGUUUUCAGUCUGAUGAGAAUAUGACAAGUGCCUCAGGUGUUCGGGUCUAUGAUGAGGAACCAGGGGCUGAGACCCUGGAUGUCAGACCAUUCUCUAUUCUCUUCACUCAUUUUAUUGUGACCUAGGGGACAUUUGUAACUGGAGCACUUGAAAAUACAAUAAUCCCAGCACCUGGGAGACAGAGGCGAGCAGAUCUCUGUGAGUUCAAGGCCAGCCUGGUCUACAUAAUGAAUUCCUGGACAACUAAAACUGUAUAGUGAAGAAGAAAGAAAGAAAAGACAUCAUCAGGAAGGUGUCUGGCAAGCACUUGGCCAACACCAGUCUUACUGGCACCUCUCACUGGCAGAAGCAUCACUCUGUUUGCAAGCAGCCAAUUCUUCUACUCUGCUGACACACCUCUGGGGAAGAAGCUCACCACCUGAGACACCUGCUUUGUCCUGGGGUAGCACCACUGAUUAGAAAGGCCUUUCUCACCAAAGUGCUACAACACAGACUAGUACAGGGGACACGUAUGACAGUGAUUUAAAGUAGUCUGUGGAGAGAAAUGGGGAGGGAUAUCUAACAUGAAGUAUAUUCUGAAACACACACACACACACACACACACACACACACACACACACACACACGAGAAUGCUUGUCCCAGACGUCAUUGGUUGCUGAAUAAAAAUCCCAGUGCCAGA